GACGAACGCUGGCGACGUGCUUAACACAUGCAAGUCGAACGGAAAGGCCCUGCUUUUGUGGGGUGCUCGAGUGGCGAACGGGUGAGUAACACGUGAGUAACCUGCCCUUGACUUUGGGAUAACUUCAGGAAACUGGGGCUAAUACCGGAUAGGAGCUCCUGCUGCAUGGUGGGGGUUGGAAAGUUUCGGCGGUUGGGGAUGGACUCGCGGCUUAUCAGCUUGUUGGUGGGGUAGUGGCUUACCAAGGCUUUGACGGGUAGCCGGCCUGAGAGGGUGACCGGCCACAUUGGGACUGAGAUACGGCCCAGACUCCUACGGGAGGCAGCAGUGGGGAAUAUUGCACAAUGGGCGGAAGCCUGAGCAGCAACGCCGCGUGCGGGAUGACGGCCUUCGGGUUGUAAACCGCUUUCGCCUGUGACGAAGCGUGAGUGACGGUAAUGGGUAAAGAAGCACCGGCUAACUACGUG
rnacentral:rRNA from 1 species